AUUGAACGCUAGCGGGAUGCCUUACACAUGCAAGUCGAACGGAGUGGCGAACGGGUGAGUAAUGUAUCGGAACGUGCCCAGUAGCGGGGGAUAACUACGCCAAAGCGUAGCUGAUACCGCAUACUCUUGGAGCGGCAGAUAUCGGAUUAGCUAUUUGGUGGGGUAACGGCUCACCAAGGCGACGAUCCGUAGCUGGUUUGGGAGGGUGACCAGCCACACUGGGACUGAGACACGGCCCAGACUCCUACGGGAGGCAGCAGUGGGGAAUUUUGGACAAUGGGGGAAACCCUGAUCCAGCCAUCCCGCGUGUGCGAUGAAGGCCUUCGGGUUGUAAAGCACUUUUGGCAGGAAAGCGGUACCUGCAGAAGAAGCACCGGCUAACUCCGUGCCAGCCGCCGCGGUAAUUC
rnacentral:rRNA from 1 species